GAACGGUAACAGGAAGCAGCUUGCUGCUUCGCUGACGAGUGGCGGACGGGUGAGUAAUGUCUGGGAAACUGCCUGAUGGAGGGGGAUAACUACUGGAAACGGUAGCUAAUACCGCAUAACGUCGCAAGACCAAAGAGGGGGACCUUAGGGCCUCUUGCCAUCGGAUGUGCCCAGAUGGGAUUAGCUAGUAGGUGGGGUAACGGCUCACCUAGGCGACGAUCCCUAGCUGGUCUGAGAGGAUGACCAGCCACACUGGAACUGAGACACGGUCCAGACUCCUACGGGAGGCAGCAGUGGGGAAUAUUGCACAAUGGGCGCAAGCCUGAUGCAGCCAUGCCGCGUGUAUGAAGAAGGCCUUUGGGUUGUAAAGUACUUUCAGCGGGGAGGAAGGGAGUAAAGUUAAUACCUUUGCUCAUUGACGUUACCCGCAGAAGAAGCACCGGCUAACUCCGUGCCAGCAGCCGCGGUAAUACGGAGGGUGCAAGCGUUAAUCGGAAUUACUGGGCGUAAAGCGCACGCAGGCGGUUUGUUAAGUCAGAUGUGAAAUCCCCGGGCUCAACCUGGGAACUGCAUCUGAUACUGGCAAGCUUGAGUCUCGUAGAGGGGGGUAGAAUUCCAGGUGUAGCGGUGAAAUGCGUAGAGAUCUGGAGGAAUACCGGUGGCGAAGGCGGCCCCCUGGACGAAGACUGACGCUCAGGUGCGAAAGCGUGGGGAGCAAACAGG
rnacentral:rRNA from 1 species